ACCAGCAAUGAGCAACACUGGUAGCAGAGCAGGACACUUGGGAAAAAGGAACAGUAUUCUUUAGAGUGAAGCCUCUAGUGUUGAUUUCAAUACCUGGGAACUGACGGGGAAAAAACUGCCAUGGCUAGAGGUUGUAAAAAAGGCUAACGUGGGAAUAUUUUCAAGGAAUUUCUGUAUUUCUAUUACUUAUCAAAAUAAACAGUGCAAUAAAGAGAUGCAAGACCUGGUUGUCAGAAUGAAAUAAUAUGAAAAAUAUUCUUCAGAAAGCAAUGACUUUGAAGAUGAUGUGGACAAGUCUGAACAAUCAGGAUCAACUGGUCCAGCUUAGACAUAACGGGUUAUGAACGUCCAUCAUCUGCAAUGUCUACAACUUCAGUCAUCUGCUGGUACACAGGCAGUGCUGCAACUAAGCAUACAUCGGAUAGUAAAUUAUCUGUAUUUAAACAAAAGAUUUUCUUCAAUCAUCCAAUAAAAACAUGGAUGAGUUCCUAAUCAAGACCAGCAAAUUUCAGAAAGACUCCAUAGAUGAAAGGAUUGCUCACAGUUUAUUUACACAGUAAAUUCUCCCUUUUAUCCUGUUCAGGACAAACAUCUCAUAGGGUUCAAUCAUUACAACCAGGCUACUCUCCACCCAGCAGAGCAAACAUUGCUGGCAGAUUCCUGUAUGAGAAAAAAAUUGAACACUGUGCAAAAAAACAUUAAUGGGAAAUUCAUUAAGCUGAGUCUUGAGGGGUGAAGCAAUGUAUACAAUGUUCUAGUAAUGUGUUUGUAUGAAAAAAAAGAUGGGGUUUUCUAUCUUGCAGAAAAAAAAUUAUACAUCAGGGAAUGGCCAUACAGCAUAAUAGUUAAAAGUAACAGCAGUAAAAGCUAUAAGAAACUGAAUAAAAAAAUCAAGCCUUACAUAUGUAGCUUUGUCACAGAUAAUGCUGCAAAAUGUAGCAAAGGCAAGAAAUCUUGAAGAAGGGAACCUGAAGCUUAUAACAUAUGGGUGCAGUGCUCAUCUGAUGCAUCUUUUAGCUAAAGACUUAAGUUCAACUCCAGGAAUAAAGGAAAAUGUUGUUGAAAUUGCAACAUUUUCUGUAACAACCACUUUGCUUCAGCUUAACUAAAGAGAGCAGGAUGAUCCCAACUAAUUCAUCUCCAAGAUGUAUUAUGGAAUUCAGUGAUUGACUUGUUUUGAGCUAUUUAUUAAGAACUGGCCUAUUCAGAUGACAAUUUGUGAAGAAAAUCACGCCAAAACAGAUGGAACUAACACAGUCAAAGUAGUCAACACUGGACUAAAGAGAAAUGUAGAAGAUAAGCUGAAUAUACUGAAAACUAUUUCCAUAGCCUUGGACAAGCUGCAGAAAGAUUGCUACUGUACUGCUAAUGCUGUUGAAAUUUAGAAGUCACUUAAGAGACACUGAAGAAAGAAAUACCCAAUACUUUACCUCAUUUUCUUGGCAAUAUUCUCAACUCAACAUACUAGGGUAAAUGCCUCACUGCUGUAGAAGAUGCUACUAUUAAAUGGGCAUCUAAUAAUCAAUCAUAAUAAAUUUCAGGGCUGGAAAUGAAACAUUCAAGCAGUAUAUGUUUGCUAAGAAAGUCACACCACUGAACUGGUGUGCAUCACCAGUUAAGCAGCUGGGACCAGAGUUUAUCGAAGUGCUGAACUAGCUUUUUUACAGUAGUAACCUCUUCUGCAGGAACACAGAAUAUUUUCUUCAUUUGGACUAAUUCAUUCAAAGUUGAGAAAUCAACUGGGAGCUGGAAAAAAAAUAAAAAUGGGGGGGGGAGAUGAGAUCUAAAACUAGAUCUAGAACUUACAGUUCUAAAAGUUUGACGCACAGACUAAGUAACUUAGGAGACUCGUCUCAUUUUCAAGAGACUUAAGUGGUAGUGAAGACAUAGCCUAUGUCAGUAUAACUUAUGUCGCUCAGGGAUGUGAAAAAAACAAACCUCCUGAGCAACAUACGUCACACUGCCAUAAGCGCUGUUAUGGACAACGCUAUGUCAGUGGGAGAGCUUCUUCUGUCAACAUAAUUAAUCAACCCCCAAUGAGCAGCGGUAGUUAUGUAGACGGGAGAGCUCUCUCCCAUCAGCUUAGUGUGGCUACACUAGAGAUCUUACAGCUGCACUGCUGUAAGCUCUCUAGUGUAGACAUAGCCUUAGGCAUGUAGGAACUUAAGAGCCAAUCACUUUCACUUAGCCUAGGAAAAUUUUCAAAUACGCCUGACCUGCAUUAUCAUCUUAAGUCACUGACUAAAAUUAAUCCCUCUGUUCCUUUAAUAACUCAUUUAGCUGUAAAUGUGAAAAAUCUUUUGAUAAGAGCUUAUGUAUCCAAAACAUUUAAAGUUACUUUAAUAAAAAUAGAUUUUUUAAAUUACAGUUACCAUACUAAUGAAGCUUGACACAAAUCAUGACCAAAAGUUAAUUAUCUAGUAAAUAAGCAAUACCAUUCACCAUUUUCUAACAUACUAAAAAUGUACAAUAAGAAUCUGAAAAUAUCAACCUAUGUAAUUGCUUAAUUAAAUGUGUAUAGGUUAUAGUGUACCUUCCUAAGUAGCAAAAAGAUGCACCAAAUCUAGUGUAAAGGCUCUAUUUCACUGUAAAUCAACUUGUUUUAAUUGCUAUAGGAACCAAUGACAAUGGACCGUUCUUUAGAAAAUAAAAGUGCAAAUGGAAAAGUUGAUUAAAAUUGACGAUUUAUAUAAAGGCUUUCCAUCUAGUGAUUUAAAUUCACCUUGACAACUGUACAGGCAGGUGGCAAACUGAAGCUACCGUGAAGUGGACUAUUAGAGCUGAACAACAGGCCAGCCUGUUCUAAGUGUAGUAGGUAGUCAAGGAUCUUCAGUAUCAAGUCUUGGACUGAGACCCAGCCAUGCUGGGCUGCCCAUAUUGAGAACCUGUUCCAUUUAGAUUUUUCCUGUUCUGAGCCAAAUUUUCCUGGACCUGUACAGAGCAUGAGCUCAACUAAAGACUGAACAGACAUUUGUAACAGGUUUGUCAGCCAAGACUGCCUCACCCAAUACAGGGCAACAACCACGACAGUCCUAUCUCUCAUGAUCUUGGAUAUUCUCUAGGAAUCAGUGGAAAAGUGUAAGGUAAGUCUCUGUUCCACUGUAGAAGGAAGGCAUCUGGCAACAAUCAUUGGUUAGUCUUGUCCUGGAAGAAGAAUUUUGACAUUUGGCAUUGUUUUUGGAGGCAAAAUAGUCUGGGGGAGGGGAUUCCCCAAUAACAGAAUAUCAGUUUUACAAUGGAUCUGUGCAAGGACCAUUCAUGGCUGGUCAUUGACUGCCUGCUUAAGAUACUGGUCAAGUUGUUGCUGACCCCUAGAAGGUGAAGAGCUAGUGUGGUCACCCACUGAAACAUCACCACGCCCAGAGCUUGAUGGCUUCCAGACAGAGAUGUGAGAAAUGAGCAUCCCGUUGUUUAAGUAGUGCACAGUUGUCAUGUUUGUGAAAAUUUGCACCACUGAGUUCCAGAAAACAUGUAGGGACACUAUAUACAGGACAAUCUGAGGAUUUUGAGCUGCAGGAGUUUCAUAUACAAUUCAUUGUCAUCUGGGGACCAAGCUCCUUGAAUCUGUAUGUGGUUAAAAGAGACUGUAUUGGUAUUCUGGAUGCUUACAGUCAAGAGGCAAACCUCAUGGUCACAACUGUGGCCAUCAAACUCAUGACUACAUCAGAGGCAUCCAUGGCUUCCUGUACUGCAGUUCUGGUCACCAUUUCAUCUUUUCUGAUAAUCUCCUUUAAUUCCUCCCUUGAAUCCUGUGGCACUUUCACCAAGAGAUCACCCUCUAUCACAUAAGGAAAUUAUAUCUUGCAAAUAAUGCCUGAAGGUUUGCCACACUUAGCUUCAAUAAGGCAUAUGACCCAAACACAUCUAGCUUUUCAGGGGUCCUUGUUCCUGGGCGUGCCUUUUGUUGAUUUUGGACUUUUCCUGCACUAAUGCAACUACCAAUGAGCCUGGAUUUGGGUGGGAAUAAAAGUGAUCCAAGUUUUGGUGGGGGUUGGGGGACUUAUGAUAGUGCUUCUCCACCUGCUUGGAGAUGGUCUGGAUGGUGGCGGGAGUUUGCCAGAGCCCUUUGGCUAGGUCCAGUAUGCUCUCAUUUAUAGGAAGAGGAAUUUUGGCUGAGCCUGAUGCAGUCUCAUAGACUUUAAGGUCAGAAGGGACCAUCAUGAAUAUCUAGUCUGACCUCCUGCACAUUGCAAGCCAUUAAACCUCACCCACCAACUCCUCUAAUAGACCCCUAACCUCUGGCUGAGUUCCUGAAGUCCUCAAAUCACGGUGUGACAGUGUGCUGGGCAGGAACUCCUGAGCCAGCCCUCUGUCACACUAGCUCCAAUUAAGGGAGGAAAAUUGGAGCUGGCUAGAGAAACCUGCACCUGAUUGAUAAACAGGAAACAGCUGCCAGCCUAAUUAGCAAGGGGCUAUAUAAAGGCCGAGAGGAAGGAAGCAGCGGGGAAGCCACAGUGGUAGCUCUUCCCUCCUGGGUGCAGAGGCUAAGGAGUCCUCAAGGCUGAAAUCCCCAUGCUGUAUAGGAUGAGAAGAUGGUGGGAUUGCAUGCUGUAAAUAAACUGCACCAUUGAUUGCUGAA